rnacentral:lncRNA from 1 species
UUUAUACAUCAGGAGCUAAAUCACUGAGAAAUUUGUGUUUUGUCAGGAGAAGUCAGUGGCAGAGAGAUAAAUGGCUGUGGAGUGCCUGAACCACAAAGCUGCCAUAGAUCAGUGGAAAUGAUGGACCAUGGAGCUACCCACUGAAUGAAGCUGUGGAGCACAAGGGAUUUGACUCAAUCUGCAGGAUCAGGUGGCAGUCAUAAAGAGUAAACAAAAGAAGACACAUAAUAAAAGUAAUCGUUCUAACUUUUAGUUGUUUCUGCUGUAAACAACAUUAACUGCAGUCUUUGAAGAGGAUAUGAUACUAUUCUCACUCCAGUCUCACUUGCCAACAAGGAGAUCCAGAUAAUCCUCAAGCUGCUGAGUCAAUAUGUGGUUAUAGAGAAAAGUAUUUCUCAAAUAUGAGAGAUUGUAUGUCCACUGGGAAAGCUCCUUUUCAGGCUUCUCUCUCAAGCAAAACAAAACUAAACUAUUUCUCGGUUUGUAAGCCUUUGAAACUCAGUAUCAUCAGAAAUUUUGUGA